rnacentral:rRNA from 1 species
UACGUAGGCAGCGAGCGUUGUUCGGAGUUACUGGGCGUAAAGCGUGCGUAGGCGGUUUUCUAAGUUUGGUGUGAAAUCUCCCGGCUUAACUGGGAGGGUGCGCCGAAGACUGGAAGGCUUGAGUAUGGGAGAGGUAAGCGGAAUUCCUGGUGUAGCGGUGAAAUGCGUAGAUAUCAGGAGGAACACCGGUGGCGAAGGCGGCAUCCUGGACCAACACUGACACUGAUGAGCGAAAGCCAGGGGAGCAAACGGG